ACUAAUGACCCCAGGCCUCAGGAAGACUGACACUGUCAUUUGGAUAUGACGAGCAGAAGCUGCAAAGUACUACCUGGAAGUGAAAGGGGUAACACUAACUUUAACUUAAUCAAAUAAAAAAAGAGUACGCUGAGAAGAAAUUUUACAAUCAUGAACUUGUCAAGAAAAAAAGAUUGUAACUGAGUUUGCACAUCUGUUCCAGCUGUGUUUACCACUCAGAGGAACCACACUGAUCACACUGGAAACAGCCCAGCCAUCAGCAAUGGAGAAUCAUGCUUAGCUGUAGAGAGGCAUGUGAAGGUCACCGAGUUGAAUUACGUAUUACCUGACUGUCAUUAUACAGUCCUCUGUUGAUGGACAACUAUACUGGUUCCAUUUCCUCGCUAUGGGAAGUGUAAUGAAUAGUAUUUUGAGAUGCCACCUCACUCCAGUCAUAAGGGUCAUCAUCAACUAAUCAACUGUCAACUAAUGGUGAAGAAGAUGUGGAGGAGAGGGAGUCUUACUCAAUGCUGCUGGGG